AAAGGAAGAAAGGAAGAAAGGAAGAAAGGAAGAAAGGAAGAGAGAAAGAGAGAAAGAGAGAGAGAAAGAAAGAAAGAGAGAAAGAAAGAGAGAAAGAAAGAAAGAAAGAAAGAAAGAAAGAGAGAAAGAAAGAAAGAAAGAAAGAAAGAAAGAAAGAAAGAAAGAAAGAAAGAGAGAGAGAGAGAGAGAGAGAAAGAAAGAAAGAAAGAAAGAAAGAAGAAAGAAAGAAAGAAAGAAAGAAAGAAAGAAAGAAAGAAAGAAAGAAAGAAAGAAAGAAAGAAAGAAAGAAAGGAGGAAAAAGAGAGAGAAAGAGAGAGAAAGAGAGAGAAAGGAAGCAAAAGAAAAAAGACAACCAGAAAUAAAAUCCAUCAGACAAACGAGGGAGCGAGAAGAAACGGGAGGUGAGGCUGUGUGCGGCCCGAGCCGGGCCGGGCCGGGGGGAUAGCGGCACAGCCGGCACUCCCCGCCCGGGUACCGCCGGGCACCGCCUGCCCUCCCUUCCCCCGCACGGUGUGCAGCCAGGACAUUUUCCUCUAUCUUUCUUUCUUUUUUAUUCCCCCCGCCUACCGUGAAUUUAUCAGCCCAGCUAGUGUAUAUUUAUAUAUGCAUGUAGUUGUAUUUUUUUUUGGCUAACGAGUGCAGGCUGCACCGAGCUUCCCUGUUCUCACCGCAGUCACUCACUGCAGCAUUUGGGGGCUUCGGGAGAUGCUCAGCACUGUGUUACGCAGCUGCCGUUUGCUUGGCUCGCUGAGGGAGUUAUGUUUAUUGCCGUCCUCCCGUACAUAAUUUUGGCAGUUUCCCUGUGGCACAGCAGCCUUUCCUCCGAAAAUCGUAGGGAAAAAAAAAAAAAAGAAAGAAAGAAAGGAAGGAAGAAAGAAAGAAAAAGAAAGCAAAAUAUAAGCCCUGACAUUUAUCCCAACGGCUCCUGCCGCUGCUCGGUAACGUUUAAUUACAAAACUCGGCCGAGGUGCCAGCCCGCAUCGGUCAUUAGGAACCUUUCUUAAAACCUUGUCAGGCUGCAAUGAGAACAGAUUUAAUGGAGGCAGCCGCAUACCUCCUGCGCUGCCAGCUGAAACCGAGACCGUGCAAAGCAGGAUGGAAAUGCCAAAUCAGCCUCCACCAUCCCUUCCUAGCAACCAACUCUUUAAAUUUAUUGCUUUUCCCUCUUUUCUUUCCUUCUUUCUUCUUUCUUUUUCUUUUUCUUUUUCUUUUUCUUUUUUUUUUUCUUCCUUCUUUCCUCCCCUUCUCCCAUUGAGGAAGCAGGCAGGAGCGUCAUUUUUAAAAGAUGCUUUGAGGAUGGGGAGGAGAAACACGUUUUGUAGAGGAGGAGAAGGGGGGUCUCUUGUGUCCCUUUGGGGUUUUGUUGGCUUGAGUUUUGGAGGGGAAAGAGGCGGUGGGAAACGGAGGCGACCGAAAGUCGCGUUCACAUCCCGCAUCUCUCGGCCCCCCCGGCCCCGGACCCGGCUGUCCUUGCAGCGAGGGGACGCCAGGGGGCAAGAGGCGUUCGCGAAGGCUGCGUCCGUCCGUCUCUCCCGCGGGGGUUUCGGUGUUUUAUCCCGGCCGAAGUCGGAUUUGUUUAUAGAGAAAGAAAAUAAAUAAAAAUAAGAAGAAAGGAUGAAAAAAAAUAAAAGAAAAAAGAAAAAAAA
ensembl:lncRNA